rnacentral:rRNA from 1 species
AUUGAACGCUGGCGGCAGGCCUAACACAUGCCAGUCGAGCGGAUGAAGGGAGCUUGCUCCUGGAUUCAGCGGCGGACGGGUGAGUAAUGCCUAGGAAUCUGCCUGGUAGUGGGGGAUAACGUCCGGAAACGGGCGCUAAUACCGCAUACGUCCUGAGGGAGAAAGUGGGGGAUCUUCGGACCUCACGCUAUCAGAUGAGCCUAGGUCGGAUUAGCUAGUUGGUGGGGUAAAGGCCUACCAAGGAGGCGAUCCGUAACUGGUCUGCGAGGAUGAUCAGUCACACUGGAAGUGAGACACGAGCCAGACUCCGACGGGAGGCAGCAGUGGGGAAUAUUGGACAAUGGGCGAAAGCCUGAUCCAGCCAUGCCGCGUGUGUGAAGAAGGGCUUCGGAUUGUAAAGCACUUUAAGUUGGGAGGAAGGGCAGUAAGUUAAUACCUGGCUGUUUUGACGUGACCAACAGAAUAAGCACCGGCUAACUUCGU